GACGAACGCUGGCGGCGUGCUUAACACAUGCAAGUCGAACGGAAAGGCCCUGCUUUUGUGGGGUGCUCGAGUGGCGAACGGGUGAGUAACACGUGAGUAACCUGCCCUUGACUUUGGGAUAACUUCAGGAAACUGGGGCUAAUACCGGAUAGGAGCUCCUGCUGCAUGGUGGGGGUUGGAAAGUUUCGGCGGUUGGGGAUGGACUCGCGGCUUAUCAGCUUGUUGGUGGGGUAGUGGCUUACCAAGGCUUUGACGGGUAGCCGGCCUGAGAGGGUGACCGGCCACAUUGGGACUGAGAUACGGCCCAGACUCCUACGGGAGGCAGCAGUGGGGAAUAUUGCACAAUGGGCGGAAGCCUGAUGCAGCAACGCCGCGUGCGGGAUGACGGCCUUCGGGUUGUAAACCGCUUUCGCCUGUGACGAAGCGUGAGUGACGGUAAUGGGUAAAGAAGCACCGGCUAACUACGUGCUAGCAGCCGCGGUGAUACGUAGGGUGCGAGCGUUGUCCGGAUUUAUUGGGCGUAAAGGGCUCGUAGGUGGUUGAUCGCGUCGGAAGUGUAAUCUUGGGGCUUAACCCUGAGCGUGCUUUCGAUACGGGUUGACUUGAGGAAGGUAGGGGAGAAUGGAAUUCCUGGUGGAGCGGUGGAAUGCGCAGAUAUCAGGAGGAACACCAGUGGCGAAGGCGGUUCUCUGGGCCUUUCCUGACGCUGAGGAGCGAAGGCGUGGGGAGCGAACAGGCUUAGAUACCCUGGUAGUCCACGCUGUAAACGGUGGGUACUAGGUGUGGGGUCCAUUCCACGGGUUCCGUGCCGUAGCUAACGCUUUAAGUACCCCGCCUGGGGAGUACGGCCGCAAGGCUAAAACUCAAAGGAAUUGACGGGGCCCCGCACAAGCGGCGGAGCAUGCGGAUUAAUUCGAUGCAACGCGUAGAACCUUACCUGGGUUUGACAUGGAUCGGGAGUGCUCAGAGAUGGGUGUGCCUCUUUUGGGGUCGGUUCACAGGUGGUGCAUGGCUGUCGUCAGCUCGUGUCGUGAGAUGUUGGGUUAAGUCCCGCAACGAGCGCAACCCUUGUUCACUGUUGCCAGCACGUUAUGGUGGGGACUCAGUGGAGACCGCCGGGGUCAACUCGGAGGAAGGUGGGGAUGACGUCAAGUCAUCAUGCCCCUUAUGUCCAGGGCUUCACGCAUGCUACAAUGGCUGGUACAGAGAGUGGCGAGCCUGUGAGGGUGAGCGAAUCUCGGAAAGCCGGUCUCAGUUCGGAUUGGGGUCUGCAACUCGACCUCAUGAAGUCGGAGUCGCUAGUAAUCGCAGAUCAGCAACGCUGCGGUGAAUACGUUCCCGGG
rnacentral:rRNA from 1 species